rnacentral:rRNA from 1 species
AACCUUUACAAUGCACGAAAGUGUGAUAAGGGGAUCCCAAGUGCCUUACUUUUAGUAAGGCUUUUGCCAUGUGUAAAAGGCAUGGCGAAUAAGUGGUGGGCAAGACUUGUGCCAGCCGCCGCGGUAACACCAGCGCCACAAGUGGCAACCGCUUUUAUUGGGCCUAAAGCGUCCGUAGCCUGUUUAGUAAAUUUUCUGUGAAAUUGUUGGGCUUAACUUAACAUCGUGCAGGAAAGACUGCUAGACUAGGGACCGGGAGGCGUCAGAGGUAUUCUUGAGGGAGUGGUAAAAUGCUAUAAUCUCAGGAGGACCACCAGUGGCGAAGGCGUCUGACGAGAACGGAUCCGACGGUAAGGGACGAAAGCUAGGGGAGCAAACCGG